AUAAAGUUUUAUUCUUGCUUUGUCAUUCAGCUUUUGUUUGUUCUAUAAGAAAGUUUUUGUGUGGUUAUUGAUGUGCUUCUAGAUGGAUUGCAUUUAUAUAUUUAUUAAUUCUCAUUAGUUAUUAUUGGUUGAUCAAGUAUCCUUGUAUUUAGCAAUAUAUUUUAGUUUCGGUUAAAUUUUGUGCCAUUAGCCGCGGUUAUACUUUGGAGACAUUUGAAUGUGUUCGGCUUAGGUAGUUUUAUUAUUGAGUUUUUUCAAUUUUUUUUGAGAAUUUUUAGGUGAAAUUUUUUUUUUCUUUAUUUUUAUUAAACUAUUUGUAAUCUAUGAAAUUCUUUAUAUAGACUAGGAUUAGAUACCCUAUUAUUUUAGAAUGUUAAUUUAUGUGCUUGAGUAGUAUUAGUUAUGUUCUUGAAACUUAAAGAAUUUGGCGGUAUCUCAUUCCGUUCAGAGGAAUCUGUCCCGUUAUCGAUAGUCCGCGUUGGACCUUACUUAGUUGCUUUGGUUUGUAUACCGCCGUUUAUUGAUUAUCUUUUUAGGGUUUUUAAUUUUCUGGUUUCUUUAUUUUGAUUAAUUUCAGGUCAAGGUGCAGCUUGUUUCUAAGUGGAAUUAGAUGGAUUACAUUAUUAUUGGUUUUUGGAUUGUUAUUUUGAAUAUUGGCAUGAAAUUGGAUUUGGUUGUAAUAAUUUGUAGACUGUUAUUAUGAUAAUUGGUUCUGGGAUAUGUACACAUCGCCCGUCACUCUCGUUUUUUGUUAAUGAGAUAAGUCGUAACAAAGUGGUUGUACCGGAAGGUGCAGCUGGAUUGAA
rnacentral:ncRNA from 1 species